AGGUAGCUCUGGAGUUUGCUUCCCUACUU
rnacentral:piRNA from 1 species